GAGUUUGAUCAUGGCUCAGGAUGAACGCUGGCGGAGUGCCUAACACAUGCAAGUCGAGCGGCAGCGCGAGUAGUUUACUACUUGGCGGCGAGCGGCGGACGGCUGAGUAACGCGUGGGAACAUGCCCAAAGUGAGGAAUAACUGCCCGAAAGGGUAGCUAAUGCCGCAUACGAUCUUCGGAUUAAAGGAUUUAUCCGCUUUGGGAGUGGCCUGCGUACGAUUAGAUAGUUGGUGAGGUAAUGGCUCACCAAGUCUACGAUCGUUAACUGGUUUGAGAGGAUGAUCAGUCAGACUGGAACUGAGACACGGUCCAGACUCCUACGGGAGGCAGCAGUGAGGAAUCUUCCACAAUGGACGAAAGUCUGAUGGAGCAACUCCGCGUGCAGGAUGAAGGCCUUCGGGUCGUAAACUGCUUUUAUGAGUGAAGAAUAUGACGGUAACUCAUGAAUAAGGGUCGGCUAACUACGUG
rnacentral:rRNA from 1 species